GCUUUUAAAGGAAAAUAGCCAUCCGGUGCUUUUAGGAACCAAAACUCUUGGUGCAAAUCCAAGUAAAAGUAAUG
rnacentral:tRNA from 1 species